AAUGAACGUUGGCGGCGUGGAUUAGGCAUGCAAGUCGAGCGAGAAUUUGCGAUUGGAAGCUUCGGCCGAAGAAAGUGAAGGAAGGCGGCAAACGGCGUAGUAAGGCGUAGGUACGUACCCUCGGGUCGGGAAUAGCCAUGGGAAACUGUGGGUAAUGCCCGAUAAUCUCUGCGGAGCAAAGGUGUGAUUCCGCCGGAGGAGCGGCUUACGUGAUAUUAGCUAGUUGGUGGGGUAAUGGCCUACCAAGGCAACGAUGUCUAGGGGGUGUGAGAGCAUGGCCCCCACGACCGGAACUGAGACACUGUCCGGACACCUACGGGUGGCUGCAGUCGAGAAUCUUCCGCAAUGGGCGAAAGCCUGACGGAGCGACGCCGCGUGGUGGAUGAAGGCCCUUGGGUUGUAAACACCUGUCAGAGGGGAUGAAAUCUUCGGAGGUACUCCUCCGAAGUUGACAGAGCCUCAAAGGAAGCACGGGCUAAGUACGUGCCAGCAGCCGCGGUAAAGUGUG
rnacentral:rRNA from 1 species